rnacentral:rRNA from 2 species
GUAAUAGCUCACUGGUCGAGUCGGCCUGCGCGGAAGAUGUAACGGGGCUAAACCAUGCACCGAAGCUGCGGCAGCGAACGUAUCACCCAAGACAACUUUACGGAGUUGACGAUUGACGGAGCGAAGCGACGUCAAAGCGUUCAUUAAAGUCGAGUUGGCUUAGGGAUACGUUCGUUGGGUAGGGGAGCGUUCUGUAAGCCUGUGAAGGUGGCCUGUGAGGGUUGCUGGAGGUAUCAGAAGUGCGAAUGCU